GACGAACGCUGGCGGCGUGCUUAACACAUGCAAGUCGAACGGAGCGAAUGAAAGCUUGCUUUUAUGAGCUUAGUGGCAAACGGGUGAGUAACACGUAGACAACCUGCCGAUAGGAUGGGGACAACAUUCCGAAAGGAAUGCUAAUACCGAAUGGCGUGGAGGGAAGGCAUCUUCCUUUUCAUGAAAGAUGGCCUCUAUAUAUAAGCUAUCACCUAUCGAUGGGUCUGCGUCUGAUUAGCUAGUAGGUAAGGUAACGGCUUACCUAGGCGACGAUCAGUAGCCGGUCUGAGAGGAUGAACGGCCACAUUGGGACUGAGACACGGCCCAGACUCCUACGGGAGGCAGCAGUGGGGAAUCUUCCGCAAUGGGCGCAAGCCUGACGGAGCAACGCCGCGUGAGUGAAGAAGGUCUUCGGAUCGUAAAGCUCUGUUGAAGGGGACGAACGUAUAUAGUGCGAAUAGUGCUGUGUAAUGACCGUA
rnacentral:rRNA from 1 species